rnacentral:sRNA from 1 species
UGCCCACACCUUUAUUAAUGUACACUUGGCAUGGUAUGCUAUUGGAUUAGCCAUCUCUUCUCUGAGGAAAUGAUUUCAAGUUUCUUAAUGAGUGAUAUAUGAAUCUUUUUUGGAGCCCUGUAAUGUUGUUUGUAAGGCUUAUCUAGAACAGUUCCUCUUUGUCAGGGACCAGCCCUCUGCCAGUGUGUGCUUGUCAUUGCUGGAAUGGAUAUGAAGCACCCUUAUCUGCUGGCUAAUCUCUUGCUUUGGAUGUUGUAGGGUUGAAUGCAAUGCAGUUACAGAAUUUGGCUGCACUAGCUGCUGCAGCUAGUGCAGCUCAGAACACACCAAGUGGUACCAAUGCUCUCACUACAUCCAGCAGUCCCCUCAGCGUGCUCACUAGUUCAGCAGGGUCCUCACCUAGCUCUAGCAGCAGUAAUUCUGUCAACCCCAUAGCCUCACUUGGAGCCCUGCAGACAUUAGCUGGAGCAACGGCUGGCCUCAAUGUUGGCUCUUUGGCAGGAAUGGCUGCUUUAAAUGGUGGCCUGGGCAGCAGUGGCCUUUCCAAUGGCACCGGGAGCACCAUGG